CUAUGAUUUCAAAAAUACAUAAGUUCAUGUGAAAUAACAACACGUCUAUCUGAUGUAUCUUCCCUGUUUUUUCAAUGAAUACCUGCUUAAAUUGUUCUCAAAAAAUCGAAAGAAACGUCAGAGAAUAUUCUUCAACGCAUGACUGAUCAAAAAAUAACUUGGAAAUAAUCGGUAGCAUUAGCA